AUUGCUUCUCAGCCUUUUGGUUAAGAUCAAGUGUAGGAUCUGUUCUCAUAGGGUUAAUAUCUGAUACAUCCUCUACCUACGGACAACAUAUUAAAUGGAUUUUUGGAGCUGGGAGAUGGAAUAGGAGCUUGCUCCAUCCACUCCGCAUAUCCACCUGGUAUUGCAGUACCUCCAGGAAUGGUGUACCCCAC
rnacentral:snRNA from 1 species